GGAAUAUUCGUCAAUGGGGGAAACCCUGAACGAGCAAUGCCGCGUGAAGGAUGACGGUCCUAUGGAUUGUAAACUUCUGUUGUUAGGGAAGAACGAGUUGUAUAGGAAAUGAUACAGCAGUGACGGUACCUUUCAAGAAAGCUCCGGCUAACUACGUGCCAGCAGCCGCGGUAAUACGUAGGGAGCGAGCGUUAUCCGGAUUUAUUGGGUGUAAAGGGUGCGUAGGCGGUUUGAUAAGUCUGUGGUUUAAUCCCGAAGCUUAACUUCGGUUCGCCACAGAAACUGUCUUACUUGAGUAUGGUAGAGGCAAGUGGAAUUUCUAGUGUAGCGGUAAAAUGCGUAGAUAUUAGAAGGAACACCAGUGCCGAAGGCGACUUGCUAGGCCAUUACUGACGCUGAGGCACGAAAGCGUGGGGAGCAAAUA
rnacentral:rRNA from 1 species